UCACCGUGGUAUCGUACCUAAUACAGUGACUUCUGUCUCCAGGACGUUCCGGCCGCUGUACUGCCAGUCCAUGAAACUGCCCGCGCUGAACUACGCCGGGACGUGCAGCCCCUUCCACCUCCCCGCACCGCCGGGGGCGCAUAAAGAGACGUCCAGGGAGAGGAGCGACGACGUCCGUAGUGGCCGAGACAAGCCUUCGGCGUUGGUCCUUCGCACGCCGUCCCCGAAGACGCCCCGCAAAAAGGCGCUGGGCUACUGCGAGUGCUGCCAGGUCACGUUCAAAGACCAGGAGGAGCAUUUGCAGUCAGACCAGCACCAACACUUUGCGCGGGACUCUUCCAACUACGCCGUCGUGGACCAGCUGAGAGCCUCCAUGGACCCUGCGUUGGUGUUCCGGCCCCGCCCCCAACAGGAUUCGGCACCGCCCGAGUAAGGCGCUCC
rnacentral:lncRNA from 1 species